AUUGAACGCUGGCGGCAGGCCUAACACAUGCAAGUCGAGCGGCUGCAUGGUGCUUGCUCCUCGUUUCAGCGGCGGACGGGUGAGUAAUGCCUAGGAAUCUGCCUGGUAGUGGGGGCUAACGUCCGGAAACGGGCGCUAAUACCGCAUACCUCCUGAGGUAGCACGUGGGGGAUCUUCGGAUCUCACGCUAUCUUAUGAGCCUAGGUCGGAUUAGCUAGUUGGUGGGGUAAGGGCCUACCAAGGCUACGAUCCGUAACUGGUCUGAGAGGAUGAUCAGUCACACUGGCAAUGAGACACGGUCCAGACUCCUACGGGAGGCAGGAGUGGGGAAUAUUUGACAAUGGGAGAAAGCCUAAUCCAACCAUGCCGCGUGGGUGAAGAAGGUCUUCGGAUUGUAGAGCAAUUUAAGUUGGGAGGAAGGACAGUAAGUUAAUACCAUGCGGUUUUGACGUUACCAACAGAAUAAGCACCGGCUAACUUCGUG
rnacentral:rRNA from 1 species